GUGGUCGCUGCCAGCGUAGGGAAACCGGCUGGGAGAGGAAAGUCCGGGCUUCACAGAGCAGGAUGCCUGCUAACGGCAGGUUGAGGUGACUCACAGGAAAGUGCAACAGAGAACAUACCGCCCGCAAGGGUAAGGGUGAAAAGGCAGUGUAAGAGACUACCGCGCCUCUGGUGACAGAGACGGCAUUGCAAACCCCAUCCGAAGCAAGACCAAACAGGAGACAUAUGGCUGCUCGUCAGUCUCCGGGUAGGUUGCUUGAGACGCAUGGCAACAUGCGCCCUAGAUAGAUGACCACUUGAAACAUAACCCGGCUUACUACGAUA
rnacentral:RNase_P_RNA from 1 species